GGACAGGACCUUUCGGAGAUCACUCAAUCACAUGGCAGCCAUAAAUGAGAGGUGGCGUGAUGGCAUGUAGCAUCAACAACAAACUGCAAACAAAACUUUUAGCUCCAGUGAGCAGGACUGUCUCAAGAAAUAUUGCAACUGCAGCAAAGCAGCAAAUGUCCUGUCACCCAAGUCGAAGUACAUAAUACUCCAAAGCAGACAAAUAAUUUUGGCGCACGAGAAUUUGUUGCCUGAAGCGGACAGCUUACUGUGCCACAGCAGAAGAGCCUCACCAGGAGACACCCUGGAACUUGCCAACAAGCUUGCCUCCAGCAUGAAGUCAUGGUCACACAUCAGUUCCCGUUCUAGCAGCUGCCACGAAAUGUGCUUCUGA